CGAUGGCGACCGGCGCACGGGUGAGUAACACGUAUCCAACCUGCCGUCUACUCCUGGACAGCCUUCUGAAAGGAAGAUUAAUACAAGAUGGCAUCAUGAGUCCGCAUGUUCACAUGAUUAAAGGUAUUCCGGUAGACGAUGGGGAUGCGUUCCAUUAGAUAGUAGGCGGGGUAACGGCCCACCUAGUCUUCGAUGGAUAGGGGUUCUGAGAGGAAGGUCCCCCACAUUGGAACUGAGACACGGUCCAAACUCCUACGGGAGGCAGCAGUGAGGAAUAUUGGUCAAUGGGCGAGAGCCUGAACCAGCCAAGUAGCGUGAAGGAUGACUGCCCUAUGGGUUGUAAACUUCUUUUAUAAAGGAAUAAAGUCGGGUAUGCAUACCCGUUUGCAUGUACUUUAUGAAUAAGGAUCGGCUAACUCCGUGCCAGCAGCCGCGGUAAUACGGAGGAUCCGAGCGUUAUCCGGAUUUAUUGGGUUUAAAGGGAGCGUAGAUGGAUGUUUAAGUCAGUUGUGAAAGUUUGCGGCUCAACCGUAAAAUUGCAGUUGAUACUGGAUAUCUUGAGUGCAGUUGAGGCAGGCGGAAUUCGUGGUGUAGCGGUGAAAUGCUUAGAUAUCACGAAGAACUCCG
rnacentral:rRNA from 1 species